rnacentral:rRNA from 1 species
GAUGAACGCUAGCUACAGGCUUAACACAUGCAAGUCGAGGGACAGGCGCGCGGGUGAGUAACACGUAUCCAACCUGCCCUUUACUCGUGGCUAGCCUUUCGAAAGAAAGAUUAAUACCCGAUGUAAAGGAUGGGGAUGCGUUCCAUUAGGUUGUUGGUGAGGUAACGGCCCACCAAGCCUUCGAGGCAUAGGGGUUCUGAGAGGAAGGUCCCCCAGAUUGGAACUGAGACACGGUCCAAUCUCCUACGCGACGCAGCAGUGAGGAAUAUUGGGCACGGGGCGGUAGCCCGAACCAGCCAAGUAGCGUGAAGGAUGAAUGCUUAUGGGUCGUAAAUUUCUUGUAUAUAAGAAUAGGUAUUAUAUGAAUAAGGAUCGGCUAACUCCGUGCCAGCAGCCGCGGUAAUAC